GCAUCGAUAGCUCAGUGGCAGAGUGGUGGGACGUUUACCCAUGCGGCCCGGGUUUGAGCCCCGGUCGAUGCA